CGAGGCCAGAUCUUUCCGGUUGAUCCUGCCGGACCUGACUGCUAUCGGAUUGAUACUAAGCCAUGCGAGUCAUUGUAGUAAUACAAGGCAGACGGCUCAGUAACGCGUAGUCAACCUAACCUAUGGACGGGAAUAACCUCGGGAAACUGAGUAUAAUGCCCGAUAGAACAUUAUGCCUGGAAUGGUUUAUGUUCCAAAUGAUUUAUCGCCGUAGGAUGGGACUGCGGCCUAUCAGUUUGUUGGUGAGGUAAUGGCCCACCAAGACUAUUACAGGUACGGGCUCUGAGAGGAGUAGCCCGGAGAUGGGUACUGAGACACGGACCCAGGCCCUAUGGGGCGCAGCAGGCGAGAAAACUUUGCAAUGUGCGAAAGCACGACAAGGUUAAUCCGAGUGGUUUCUGCUAAAGGAACCUUUUGUCGGUCCUAGAAACACCGAUGAAUAAGGGGUGGGCAAGUUCUGGUGUCAGCCGCCGCGGUAAAACCAGCACCUCAAGUGGUCAGGAUGAUUAUUGGGCCUAAAGCAUCCGUAGCCGGCUCUGUUAGUUUUCGGUUAAA
rnacentral:rRNA from 1 species